CGGACGGGUGAGUAACGCGUGGAAAACCUGCCGUAUACUGGGGGAUAACACUUAGAAAUAGGUGCUAAUACCGCAUAAGCGCACAGCUUCGCAUGAAGUGGUGUGAAAAACUCCGGUGGUAUACGAUGGUUCCGCGUCUGAUUAGCUUGUUGGUGGGGUAAUGGCUCACCAAGGCGACGAUCAGUAGCCGGCCUGAGAGGGUGAACGGCCACAUUGGGACUGAGACACGGCCCAAACCCCUACGGAAGGCAGCAG
rnacentral:rRNA from 1 species